rnacentral:lncRNA from 1 species
UGGGGACAAGCCCAGCGAAGGACGGCCGAGGCGCACAGACCUCACCGUGCUGGUGGCCCACAACGAUGAUCCCACAGACCAGAUGUUUGUCUUCUUCCCAGAGGAGCCCAAGGUGGGCAUCAAGACCAUCAAGGUGUACUGCCAGCGCAUGCAGGAGGAGAACAUCACACGGGCGCUGAUCGUGGUGCAGCAGGGCAUGACACCCUCCGCCAAGCAGUCCCUGGUAGACAUGGCCCCUAAGUACGUGCUAGAACAGUUUCUACAGCAGGAGCUGCUCAUCAAUAUCACAGAACAUGAGCUAGUCCCUGAGCACGUGGUCAUGACCAAGGAGGAGGUGACGGAACUGCUGGCGCGAUACAAGCUCCGUGAGAGCCAGCUGCCCAGGAUCCAGGCUGGGGACCCGGUGGCACGGUACUUCGGGAUCAAGCGAGGGCAGGUUGUGAAGAUUAUCCGCCCCAGUGAGACAGCCGGCCGGUACAUCACCUACCGCCUGGUGCAGUAGCUGCAGCUCACCAGCAACCUCACAGAGGACCAGGCCAGAGCCGCUGCUCCCAUGAGCCCCAGCGUGUGGGUCAUGGCUUUCAUCCUGCAGGAUGAGCAACUUCAGAGCUUCAGCCCCACCCCCACUCCUCGCCCUGAGGUCACUGCUCUGUUAAGAGUUCUCCAUGACUCCCCGGAGAAUUAAAAGCUACUUUGGGAU